rnacentral:rRNA from 1 species
UGGGGAAUAUUGGACAAUGGGCGCAAGCCUGAUCCAGCCAUACCGCGUGGGUGAAGAAGGCCUUCGGGUUGUAAAGCCCUUUUGUUGGGAAAGAAAUCCAGCCGGCUAAUACCUGGUUGGGAUGAUGGUACCCAAAGAAUAAGCACCGGCUAACUUCGUGCCAGCAGCCGCGGUAAUACGAAGGGUGCAAGCGUUACUCGGAAUUAAUGGGCGUAAAGCGUGCGUAGGUGGUUAUUUAAGUCCGUUGUGAAAGCCCUGGGCUCAACCUGGGAACUGCAGUGGAUACUGGAUGACUAGAAUGUGGUAGAGGGUAGCGGAAUUCCUGGUGUAGCAGUGAAAUGCGUAGAGAUCAGGAGGAACAUCCAUGGCGAAGGCAGCUACCUGGACCAACAUUGACACUGAGGCACGAAAGCGUGGGGAGCAAACA